rnacentral:tRNA from 1 species
ACCUUGCUGGAUUAGUUGGUAGAGCGUGUGACUUUUGAUCUCAGGAUUGUGAGUUGAAGGCUCAUGCUGGGUG